AAAAUACGGGAGGCAGCAGUGGGGAAUAUUGCACAAUGGGGGGAACCCUGAUGCAGCGACGCCGCGUGAGCGAAGAAGGUUUUCGAAUCGUAAAGCUCUGUCCUAUGAGAAGAUAAUGACGGUAUCAUAGGAGGAAGCCCCGGCUAAAUACGUGCCAGCAGCCGCGGUAAUUUUU
rnacentral:rRNA from 1 species